CCUCCUCUUAUAACCCCACCCAGGCUUCUUGUGGCUGUCCAAUCACAGUUUUCCCAAUGCAGCUCAAUGAGAGUUAGGUGCUCUGACCAACUGCUGCCUCUUGAGUUUAUCUCCACUGAGCUAACAAAACCAGGAAGUAACACGACUAGUUGUCUGCUUAACAGCCAGAGGAAUGCAACAAGGUUAGAUUAUAAAUCUGCACUUUUUUGUAAAAUGAAUAAAGAAGACUCACA